GCGGAAACACAGCGGAGGCUAGGGCUUCACUCCGACGGUCGGUGGAGGGGGUUUUUCGAGAGAUUUCUUCAUCUUCACAAUCCUCUCGGCAAGGAGAACACGUAGGCGCAAGAAGUGGCCGGAAAACUCGAGUUAUCCGAACCCUAGAAGUUCUCUUCUCGGUUGAUCCUAAUAUGGAUGGUGAUCAUGUGGAUGAAGAUCAAAUGUUGGACAUAGAAGCGGAAGAAGAUGAUGCUAUAUAGCUUGAUUUUUUAGUACAAGUACUGAUAGUGGAUGAAGGUCAAAUGUGGAUGCAGAUCAAAUGUUUUGAUCAAUAAUGAUAGAUGACAAAUGAUUUUAUAUUUUAUGUGCAAAGAUUUAAGUUUAAGGUAGAGAAAUAUUAAGACAAAUGUGGAUGAAGAUGAUGCAUACUUUGUUAAUUAGUAUAUUUGUUUGAGUAUUAUAAUAUUUUGUUUUGGAUAACAAUGUAAUUAAUUUUCUUCAAUAUGUAUGUGGAUGAUUAAUAUA